GUGGGGAAUAUUGGGCAAUGGGCGCAAGCCUGACCCAGCAACGCCGCGUGAAGGAUGAAGGUUUUCGGAUUGUAAACUUCUGUCGCGAGGGACGAAGAAUGACGGUACCUCGUAAGAAAGCCCCGGCUAACUACGUGCCAGCAGCCGCGGUAAUACGUAGGGGGCAAGCGUUGUCCGGAAUGACUGGGCGUAAAGGGAGUGUAGGCGGCCUUGUAAGUUAGAUGUGAAAUCCUACGGCUUAACCGUAGAACUGCAUCUAAAACUGUGAGGCUGGAGUGCAGGAGAGGUGAGUGGAAUUCCUAGUGUAGCGGUGGAAUGCGUAGAUAUUAGGAGGAACACCAGAGGCGAAGGCGACUCACUGGACUGUAACUGACGCUGAGGCUCGAAAGCGUGGGGAGCAAACAGG
rnacentral:rRNA from 1 species